UGCGCAGGUGGGCUUGUAAGUCAGUGGUGAAAUACUGCCGCCUAACGGUAGAACUGCCAUUGAUACUGCAAGUCUUGAGUAUGGUUGAGGUAGGCGGAAUGUGUUGUGUAGCGGUGAAAUGCAUAGAUAUGACACAGAACUCCAAUUGCGAAGGCAGCUUACUAAGCCAUUACUGACGCUGAGGCACGAAAGCGUGGGGAGCGAACAGGAUUAGAUACCCUGGUAGUCC
rnacentral:rRNA from 1 species